rnacentral:misc_RNA from 1 species
CCGGUCCUCCUCCCCCACGCCCCGCUUUUUCUCUUUGGCCUCUCUCUCGGCUCUGCUAGCCCGACUCCGCGAAGGGGCCAGAGACACACGCACACACAGGCACACGGCGCAAGAAGGCUUUGCACAAGCCACGUCAAACAUGUCGGCUCGGCCAUCCGAUGGGCUUGCAUGCCUCCACGAGGAGCUGGAGCAGGAAGAGAAGGAUCUAGCCGCGUUGGAGGACAACGUCGAGGCUCACGCGGCUCAGCUUGGGUACCUGCACACAGAGUACACGCUCAACAAAACGCGUGUCUGCCACCACUACGAGCCGCGCCUCGAGCCGCUGCGCGUCAUCACGUACGCGGCUGCUCAGAAGGAGUCGCUCAUCGCUUUCCAGAUCGAAUGGCUAGAGCGCAAGAUAGUGGUGCAGGAGCGCCAUUCUCAAGGUGGGCAGUUUAUCGAGACCCGCGACAUGAAACCGGCAGCGGAGGAGUACCAGAACAAGGCGCGCCAGUCGCUUCUACGCUGCUACGAGCACAUCUCCGAGUGCCCGGAAGAAGCGCUGCACAUCAUCAGUCAGUACGUGUGUCCCCCGGAGGAGGCUAUCGCAACGAUGGAGCUGGUGAUGAAGGUGCGCGGCGAACCCCCCGAGGCCUGCACGUGGGAGGCGUCGCAAGUUCUCUUCAGCUACACAUACUUCCACGAGUUCUUCGCUACGCGUAGCGAGGCUUUGUUGAAGACGUGCGACCUCCUCAGCGAUGCGCUCAUGACCGAGGUGGAGCGCUUCUGCGCCGAUCCCCACCACAGCGUAUCCGCGCUGUGUCGCAUUAGCAUCCCGAUCGGGUGCAUGGGAGAGUGGCUGCACUCCAUUCGGAAUUACUACCGUGUGAAGCUGGUGACGGCGCCGGUAUUGCUUUCACAGAGCGCUGACACAGGUCGCAUGGCGAAGCAGGCGCAGGCAUGGCUGGCUGUGGUAACGCUCGGUGAGGUGAACAAUCAAGCGCCGCCGCAGCAGCCGACCACUGCCGCCAAGCAUGCCGUCACGGAGGAUGCUGAGCUCGGUGCCCUCGUUGCAGCGUACGAGGCAAGCAAAGAAAACCUGCAGCUCUCCACGGAGCCGGUCUCGGUAACGGCAGCCACGGUGCAGAAGUUGCGCCACCGUCUCCACAAACUCCGCGAGAGCGUGCGCGCUGCGGAGGAGGAGCGCAUGGCCAUAGAGGGCGAGCUGCAGGCGAAGCUCGCUGAGGUUCGAGGCAACUACGAUGAGACGAUGGUGCCGCUGGAGGAUCAGCUCGAAGAGAUGACGGAGUGCUUUGUGCAGCGCGCCACACGAAAAGUCGACGUUGCCGCCGCUCCGCCGUCUCCCGUCACCACAGCGGCAAACAUCGCCGAUAACGCUGCCGCCGUGGCAGCAGCUGGGUAGGCAUGUGUGCUGCACGGUAUCCUCUGCUGUGUGCAGGUGUGGCUGUGGUUGUGAGAUCGUGUUAACAAAAUAUAUAUAUAUAUAUAUAUAUCUUGAACCUAGGGUGUGGCACCCAUCGUCGAAUUGCCAUGGUUGCCUUGCGGCGCGCGCCGACGCCACUGCGCGUGUAUGCGGACGGCUCUGCUGGGGUGCUGUGAAGACCCCAAGCGGGAGUCGAGAAUCAGCGAAGGUGAGCACCUUGAAUAUAUACGGUCGGUCUCUCCGUAAGUGCGAGGCGGGGCAUCGUUUCUCCUAGCGCAUCCUUGCUUCUCCGGUGUUACCGUGUCGCUUUCACGUGGAUUUUCACAUCGCCCAGCGACAUCAACGAAGAACACACGAGAGGCGGAAAAGACGAAAGGCGGAGGCGCACGAGGCGUUUCUAUGUAUCCUGUAUGUGUGUACGAGGAGAGAGACGUGCAGGAGGGGUCGGGGUGUGCGGUGCACAUGAAAGGAGGGCGAGAUCGAGCGAGUGCCAUCCCUCUCUGCUGCCGUUCCUCCGACACUCUCGUGCCCACGUCGAGUCGCGCGUGCUGGAGAAGACGCGGACAGGGGCACUCAACGAUGUACAGCAACUUUUUUCCGUUUUUCUCUUUUACUUUUACUUUUCGGUGGCGGCGUUGGUGAUGGUGGGAGUGGGAGCGUUGAGGGUGUGUGCGCGUAUACAGCACCUCUUCAUCCAUGCUUAUCAACUGACCUCUUCUGUCUCUUGCACGUGCCGGCUGUGUGCGCGUCGUGGGCCUGCAGCUGAGUUCCAUGCUUCUUCCUCCUAUUGGAAAAAAAAAUCAAAAAUGGCAUUCCGUCUGUGCUGUGAGAAAGAGAGACUUUCGAGAAGGGGAGGUGUCGUCACCUUCGAACACGACCAGCGGUGGUGGCCAUGCUUGUGAGUGUGUUUGAUGAGGUGAAGAGGGGGAGGCGCGGUCUUCGGCAACGCAGCCCGCUUCUCCUGCGUCGCCGUCACCGACGAGCCCCCUCUCUCUCAGACACACGUACAUCGCCGGUGAUGUGCCGCGCGGCCCACACGCGUGCGCCUGGAGCGAGAGAAAGCAAAUGUGGGGGAGGGGUGCAGGCGUGUCGAUCUGCCCACCCCCUGCUGCCCCGCAUGGUCAUUCACGUUUUCUGCCUCUCGUUGGCCAUUCUUUGGGAGCAAG